rnacentral:rRNA from 1 species
ACGCACGCUGGCGGCAUGCCUCACACCUGCAAGUCGAACGCGACCUUCGGGUCUAGUGGCGCACGGGUGCGUAACGCGUGGGAACCUGCCCUUAGGUUCGGAAUAACUCCCCGAAAGGGGUGCUAAUACCGGAUAAUGUCUUCGGACCAAAGAUUUAUCGCCUUUGGAUGGGCCCGCGUUGGAUUAGCUAGUUGGUAGGGUAAAAGCCUACCAAGGCGACGAUCCAUAGCUGGUCUGAGAGGAUGAUCAGCCACACUGGGACUGAGACACGGCCCAGACUCCUACGGGAGGCAGCAGUGGGGAAUAUUGGACAAUGGGCGAAAGCCUGAUCCAGCAAUGCCGCGUGAGUGAUGAAGGCCUUAGGGUUGUAAAGCUCUUUUACCCGGGAUGAUAAUGACAGUACCGGGAGAAUAAGCUCCGGCUAACUCCGUG